GACGAACGCUGGCGGCGUGCUUAACACAUGCAAGUCGAACGAUGAACCCGGAGCUUGCUCUGGGGGAUUAGUGGCGAACGGGUGAGUAACACGUGAGUAACCUGCCCUGGACUCUGGGAUAAGCGUUGGAAACGACGUCUAAUACCGGAUAGGACCUUGGAUCGCAUGAUCUGGGGUGGAAAGUUUUUUCGGUCUGGGAUGGACUCGCGGCCUAUCAGCUUGUUGGUGAGGUAAUGGCUGACCAAGGCGUCGACGGGUAGCCGGCCUGAGAGGGUGACCGGCCAGACUGGGACUGAGACACGGACCAGACACCUACGGGAGGCAGCAGUGGGGAAUAUUGCACACAGGACGAAAGGCUGAUGGAGCAACGCCGCGUGCGGGAGGACGGCCUUCGUGUUGUAAACCGCUUUUAGUAGGGAAGAAGGGCUUCGGCUUGACGGUACCUGCAGAAAAAGGACCGGCUAACUACGUG
rnacentral:rRNA from 1 species